rnacentral:RNase_P_RNA from 1 species
GGAGGUGAUUCGGUAGCAGCGGGUGUGUUAUUAAUUAGACACCUGAGGAAAGUCCGGGCUUUAAGGGAGGCGACACUGGAUAAUGUCCAGCCUUCUUGUUUGUUCAAGAAGAGGGAAAGUGCCACAGAAAAUAUACCGCUAAAUAUUUUAGUAAGGGUGAAAAGGUGUGGUAAGAGCUCACCGGUGCUUUGGUAACAAGGCACGCAUGGUAAACCCUGUCGAAAGCAAGACCAAACAUGCCUGGUGAGUCUUGUACUCAAGAUUCUCCCUAUCUCUCUAUAUGCAUCAGGCGGGUAGGUCGCGUGAGCUGCGUAGUAAUGCGUAGCCAAGAUGGAUUGCUACCAGGCUUUUUUAAAAAAGCCUACAGAACCCGGCUUAUGAUUCACCUCCUUUU